GAUGAACGCUGGCGGCGUGCCUAAUACAUGCAAGUCGAACGCUGGAAAUCUAGCUUGCUAGAUUGAAGGAGUGGCGAACGGGUGAGUAAUACAUAAGCAACCUACCCACGAAGACUGGGAUAAUCUCUGGAAACGGGGACUAAUACCGGAUAGGUAAUCGGAAGGCAUCUUCUGAUUAUUAAAGGUUAAAAACACUGGUGGAUGGGCUUAUGGCGCAUUAGUUAGUUGGUGAGGUAACGGCCCACCAAGACGAUGAUGCGUAGCCGGCCUGAGAGGGUGAACGGCCACAUUGGGACUGAGACACGGCCCAGACUCCUACGGGAGGCAGCAGUAGGGAAUUUUCGGCAAUGGGGGAAACCCUGACCGAGCCACGCCGCGUGAGUGAUGACGGCCUUCGGGUUGUAAAGCUCUGUUGUAAGGGAAGAACGGUAGAUAGAGAAUAUCUAAAUGACGGUACCUUACCAGAAAGCCACGGCUAACUACGUG
rnacentral:rRNA from 1 species